rnacentral:rRNA from 1 species
GGAGGCAGCAGUGGGGAAUAUUGCACAAUGGGCGCAAGCCUGAUGCAGCCAUGCCGCGUGUGUGAAGAAGGCCUUCGGGUUGUAAAGCACUUUCAGCGGAGAGGAAGGCGUUAAGGUUAAUAACCUUGGCGAUUGACGUUACCCGCAGAAGAAGCACCGGCUAACUCCGUGCCAGCAGCCGCGGUAAUACGGAGGGUGCAAGCGUUAAUCGGAAUUACUGGGCGUAAAGCGCACGCAGGCGGUCUGUCAAGUCGGAUGUGAAAUCCCCGGGCUCAACCUGGGAACUGCAUUCGAAACUGGCAGGCUAGAGUCUUGUAGAGGGGGGUAGAAUUCCAGGUGUAGCGGUGAAAUGCGUAGAGAUCUGGAGGAAUACCGGUGGCGAAGGCGGCCCC